CAGACUAUAUUUUCAGGGAUCGUUUCUAUAGUUUGCUGCCAGAGAGGUGUCUCUGAAUGCGCAGAGCACCCAAACCCAUGAGGAGGAGGCGGAGCCUUUUCUCCCGAGUGUGAAGACGGCUUCUGGUUGCUCUUGCAACUGCUGAUGGCCACUGAUGAUUGUUCUUCUCUUCCUUUGGGGGAGGAGGGGGGCGAGGGUGCAGCCUGUGUGGU